CUUCCCUACUAUUUAGUAUGGGAAAAAGAGUAGGCGAGCAAAAAAGUAUGAAUGAAUCCAAAAGAGUAGGCGAGAAUUACCUGGGUGACGUAGCAAUUGUCGCGAGAUUCGGACUUAAGUGCGUUCCAAUAUGCCUACUUUCCUACUAUAUAGUAGGCGAAAACAGUACGUGAAGGAAGCAGUACGUUCCAAACAUCAGUUUUCAUAAAAAGAGUAGGCGAGAAGUUCCCGGAUGGCUUACUGCUUCCGCCCAGAUUUUUGAGUGCUUUUCCACGGCUACUCAUGAUACUCAUCUAUCCCAGGAGGCCACGCGAGAGGAUACGUCAAUAUCAACAUCGCGGAGAUAAGCGACGCGGGGGUUUUCAAAUGGACAGGAGAACACGCGUGUGUUUAUCCAGUGGAGAGAGGCUCAUGAUGCUGAAUGCUGUCAUCAAAGAAUGGGAACCGCUGUGUUGAGUCGGCAGUAGGGUUUGGGGUUCAGUGCCUGUAAAUACAUGCUUGUAGUUUGAAUAAAGCUGUUUCAUGUGUUGACUUGUA